AGAACGGUGGACUGUUAAUCCAUAUGUCGCUGGUUCAAGUCCAGCAGGAGGAGCCAAAUUCGAGAAAGCCGCUAAG
rnacentral:tRNA from 1 species